rnacentral:lncRNA from 1 species
UCACACAUACACUUUCACUAUUUUUGUUUCUUUUCUUUUUCUUUUACAUCCACAAAUACAAAAUACAAACUAUAAAAAACUGAAUAAAUAAAUAAAAAUACACCAACACACACAACCCUUUUUUUAUUAUUAUUUUCUCUUUCUUUUCUUUUUUUUUACAUCCAUAUUUACACAAAUUCAAAAUAAUUACAAGGAUUACCUUAAUUAAUUUAAAAUUUACAAAAAUAGACCUAAAACUCUAAAAAAACUAUUCUGGGAAGCAAUCUGAUUCUGCUGAACGUUGGCGGCGCGUCUCCCCACGCGCCGCCGCCACUGGCGGCGCGUGAACCCACGCGCCGCCGAAGGAAAAAAAACCCAGCAACAGGGGAGAUCGUCUUCUCCCACUCAUCCUUUCGUCGCCCCUGCAAAGCAAACCUCAACACACAGCAAGCAAUUGAUUUUAAUUUUUGUUUCCUUUGUUUUCGAAAUCUGCUUCGUUUCCUCUUUUUUAGAUCUGCCCCUUUCGUUUCUCUGCCUCCUCUCUUCUCCGUUAGAUCUGCUUCGCUGUGUUCGGGUGGCCGUUGGUGGAGGCGUCGCUGCUUGUGCCGUGGUGGGCACUGUCGGGUGGAUCUGUGACCGUCGGGUCUGUUCGGUGACCCUGUGACCGCUGCUGGGUCGGUACUGGUGUGCUGCAGCUGGCGGUGAACACGGCGUUGAGAGGCAGAUC